rnacentral:snoRNA from 1 species
CGCAGCCCUGUCAAAUUCGGUUCCUGCCCUCUCCGUGGCAGGGACCGGCCAACCGGCUGCCACAGCAACUUCUGCGGUCCACGAGCCCCACGUCCCCUUCCCGUGGGACACGGCGGGGGGUAAAAUCACACCACGGACAUAU